rnacentral:rRNA from 1 species
UACGGAGGGUGCAAGCAUUAAUCGGAUUUAUUGGGCGUAAAGAGCUCGUAGGCGGCUUAGUAAGUCGGGUGUGAAACCUCCAGGCUCAACCUGGAGACGCCACCCGAUACUGCUGUGGCUAGAGUCCGGUAGGGGAGCGUGGAAUUCCUGGUGUAGCGGUGAAAUGCGCAGAUAUCAGGAGGAACACCAGCGGCGAAGGCGGCGCUCUGGGCCGGUACUGACGCUGAGGAGCGAAAGCGUGGGGAGCAAACAGG